AUUGAACGCUGGCGGCAUGCUUUACACAUGCAAGUCGAACGGCAGCGCGGGCUUCGGCCUGGCGGCGAGUGGCGAACGGGUGAGUAAUGCACCGGAACGUGCCCAGCAGUGGGGGAUAGCCCGGCGAAAGCCGGAUUAAUACCGCAUACGACCUGAGGGUGAAAGCGGGGGAGCGAAAGGCCUCGCGCUAUUGGAGCGGCCGAUGUCGGAUUAGCUAGCUGGUGGGGUAAAGGCUUACCAAGGCGACGAUCCGUAGCUGGUCUGAGAGGGCGAGCGGCCACACUGGAACUGAGACACGGCCCAGACUCCUACGGGAGGCAGCAGUGGGGAAUGUUGGGCAAUGGGGGCAACCCUGAUCCAGCCAUGCCGCGUGCGGGAAGAAGGCCUUCGGGUUGUAAACCGCUUUUGUUCGGGAAGAACUCCUCUGGGCUGAUACCCCGGGGGGAUGACGGUACCGGAAGAAUAAGCACCGGCUAACUACGUG
rnacentral:rRNA from 1 species